rnacentral:rRNA from 1 species
GACGAACGCUGGCGGCGUGCUUAACACAUGCAAGUCGAACGGUAAGGCCCUUCGGCGUUCACGAGUGGCGAACGGGUGAGUAACUCGUGGGUGAUCUGCCCUGCACUUCGGGAUAAGCCUGGGAAACUGGGUCUAAUACCGGAUAGGACCACUUCCUGCAUGGGUGGUGGAGGAAAGCUUUUGCGGUGUGGGAUGUGCCCGCGUCCUAUCAGCUUGUUGGUGGGGUGAUGGCCUACCAAGGCGACGACGGGUAGCCGGCCUGAGAGGGUGACCGGCCACACUGGGACUGAGAUACGGACCAGACUCCUACGGGAGGCAGCAGUGGGGAAUAUUGCACAAUGGGCGCAAGCCUGAUGCAGCGACGCCGCGUGAGGGAUGACGGCCUUCGGGUUGUAAACCUCUUUCAGCACCGACGAAGCGCAAGUGACGGUAGGUGCAGAAGAAGGACCGGCCAACUACGUGCCAGCAGCCGCCGCCG